CCCUUAGAUGUUCUGGGCCGCACGCGCGCUACACUGAUCAGUGCAACAAGCAUCCGUCCUUGGCCGACAGGCCCGGGCAAUCUUUGAACGCUGAUCGUGAUGGGGAUAGACUUUUGCAAUUUUUGGUCUUCAACGAGGAAUUCCUAGUAAACGCAAGUCAUCAACUUGCAUUGAUUACGUCCCUGCCCUUUGUACACACCGCCCGUCGCACCUACCGAUUGAAUGGUCCGGUGAAGCCUCCGGAUUGGCGUGUACCCUCGGGUGCUGCCGAGAAGUUGGCUAAACCUUACCAUUUAGAGGAAGGUGAAGUCGUAACA
rnacentral:rRNA from 1 species